CAGCCGCCGCGGUAAUACAGAGGGUGCGAGCGUUAAUCGGAUUUACUGGGCGUAAAGCGUGCGUAGGCGGCUUUUUAAGUCGGAUGUGAAAUCCCUGAGCUUAACUUAGGAAUUGCAUUCGAUACUGGGAAGCUAGAGUAUGGGAGAGGAUGGUAGAAUUCCAGGUGUAGCGGUGAAAUGCGUAGAGAUCUGGAGGAAUACCGAUGGCGAAGGCAGCCAUCUGGCCUAAUACUGACGCUGAGGUACGAAAGCAUGGGGAGCAAACAGGAUUAGAAACCCCCGUAGUCCCUGUCUCUUAUAC
rnacentral:rRNA from 1 species